GACAGAGGGUGCAAACGUUGUUCGGAAUUACUGGGCGUAAAGCGCGUGUAGGCGGCUAUGUAAGUCGGGCGUGAAAUCCCACGGCUCAACCGUGGAAGUGCACCCGAAACUGCGUAGCUAGAGUCCUGGAGAGGAAGGUGGAAUGCUUGGUGUAGAGGUGAAAUUCGUAGAUAUCGGGAGGAACACCAGUGGCGAAGGCGGAGACCUGGGCCAAUACUGACGCUGAGGUGCGAAAGCGUGGGGAGCAAACAGG
rnacentral:rRNA from 1 species